AAGCUUUCAACAAUGGAUCUCUUGGCUCUUGCAUCGAUGAAGAACGCAGUGANGUGCGAUAUGUAGUGUGAAUUGCAGAAUUCCGUGAAUCAUCGAAUCUUUGAACGCAUAUUGCACUCUCUGGUAUUCCGGAGAGUAUGCCUAUUUGAGGGUCAUU
rnacentral:rRNA from 1 species